UGCCAAAGUGGUGCACGGCGAUUUGAUGUAGUGUGAUCCCUUUUCUGUCGAAUUAAAUAAUUAUCUAAACUUCUAAGAGAGUCAUAGCGAUGCCAUUUAAUGUUUUGUUAGGUAUGGUUUUUCUCAAAAAAAUUACGGCGGCGUGGUGUUUACCUUGGACUUGAUUGCUCGACCCGGGAAUCCUGGUUCGAAACCGGAAUUUUUCGAAAAUGUUGGAAUAAGCGAGACAACGGUGUCUUUGCAAUUUUUUAGCUAGCUAAAGUUUGGCAGAGCACGAGUUAAGACUUUGGUGGGCUUUUUCAAGAUGAAAUUGUUAAAAUCAAAGAUGUUUUUAGCUACCUAGCUAGCUAAUCUUGGCUUUAACACAAGAUUGGGUGCUAUUUUAUACAGUUUAUAAAGAAACACAAUAUGAUUGCUUUGUAUAUAUAUAAUAAAUAAAAUAUUUAUGCACAACUUGAGGUAUUUUCUUCUAGCAUGAUAAACUAAAAUGUUGAAACCGUCGACUCUGAAUGAUGUUUUAUUUAAUAUAUAGAUGUCACAUAUUUGGCCCGAAAAACCUUAGGACCAAAAGUGACCCUUUGGACAAUUUCGGACAGUUUAAUAUUUCAUCUACAUCAUCUUUAAUGGCCUCAGAAUCCAAAGUAAUGUUUUUUAUUUAGUUAAUAAACAAACUUAAAGCAUACAUUAAGGCUCCAUAGGCUGUUUUUCACAUAUUUCACACAUUUGGCCCAAAAAUAACCCCUUGGACAAUUUCGGACAGACUAAUAUUUCAUCUACAUCAUCCUUAAUGGUCUUAGAAUCCAAAGCAAUGUUUUUUAUUCAGUUAAGAAAUAAACUUUAAGCAUAUAUUAAGGCUCUUAAGGCCGUUUUUCACAUAGUUCUCACAUUUGGCCCAAAUAUAACCCUUUGGACAAUUUCGGACAGUAAUAAAAUUAAGUAAUUUUCAUUCCAGAUAUUUAACCUAACCUGUGGACCAUAAAAAACAUGUUUUUUAACUUUAUUCCAGAAGCUAGCUAUAUAAUAGUACGCCAAAAUGCAGGGACACAGCUGGGGACAAAAAAUCAGAUAUAAAGAUGCACCUAGCUGCAGUUUACACCUAGCUGAAUGUGUUUUGUUUACUAACACAAAAGAGACGGACAAAAUUAUCAAAUAAUACUUAUCCAAUAAUCCAGAAAGUAUCAAUUUCGUUCCAGCAAACAAACACAACACACUCCGGUAAACUUCCAGAGGGUUUGAAAAAAGUGGCGCCAGAAAAGUAUAUUUCCGUCGCCUAAACCACGUGUUCUAUUUUAUCCAAUUAAAGCGAAGAAUUUUUGUGUUUGGAAAAAUCUACGUGAUCCAUUUUGUCCAAUCAAUCGAUGGAAAAAAUGUUUGUUUUUGUAAAAACUAUUUAUAGUAGCAAAUAGCAAAUUUGCAGUUUGAUCAGGCGCAAUAUUUUACGGGCUAAUGACAUUACUUUUUGUUUAUAAUCUGACCAAUCAGAAACUGCUGAGAUGUAAAUAAACAUGAUAUCCGGCGUCCGUGUGCCUACAGUUUUAAUCCUAUAGCUAGGCAUUCCUAAUCAGGGCAAAAUUUGUUGACUCAGUAUAGUAUGUGUAGCCAAAAGAUAUGAGCCUGUCAAGAACAAUUCUUUUUUUUCAGCUACUUUUAUACUAGCCAGCUAAUUUAGUUUUAUGCUCACUAACUUUAGUUAGGAAGCUAAUGGUCUUUUUACAUGUCUUUGCAUUAGUUAGGACACGUAAGUGCUGGCAAGGCAAAGGAACGGCAGGGUAGGAGCAGCCACCCUAAUAGAAACUCUUCUCCCAUACAACUCAAAGAUUACGUAUACUCAAUAUGUCUAAGCUAUGUAUCAUAUUAGUCUAGGAGUAGAGAACAUAUUGAGGUACAAAUAGUUCAAGUUCAAUACCUAAAAAAUGGCAUUAAAUUUGUUACAAGAUCAAUAUAGAGUGAAUCAUCUUAGCAGAAUUAUGUGCCAAUAUAAGAAUUUAAACAAUUGGUCAUAAUGACAAAAAAAUCAUGUAUAUAUUGAUAAAUUUGAGAUUAAAAGUCAACUUGGUUCAAAUGAAUUUGAGAAUAUGGAUUUUUACUAACUCUAACAACAUUAAAAAGUCAAGGUAGAGAAAUGAUUAGAGAAGUCAACUAGAAAAGCAUUAUUUUUUAGUAAAAAAGUCUUUUUUGGUUUCUUGUGCCUACCAGGUUCAUCAACACAAAACUUUU